rnacentral:tRNA from 2 species
UCUAAUAUGGCAGAUUAGUGCAAUGGAUUUAAGCUCCAUAUAUAAAGAAAAUUCUUUUAUUAGAA